AACACGCUCCUUAGAUCCACCUCUGGGGGGCACUCCUGUGCUGGUGCUGUUGUCUCUGAGCGCUGCAGCUCCAGCUUGGAGGCCCUCAACAGCUUUUUGGCUGUACAGUUGGAGGUGCAUGAGUCAUUGGCGUGUGAGAGCAGUCUACCUGCCUCCCAGCACCUCUGAUGCCCUGGCAACCCUCAGUUCCACUGACGGGACCCUACCAGUGCAGCUAUGCUGGGGGAUGGACAAU
ensembl:snoRNA